AAUGAAGAGACAAGGUCUUGCUAUGUUGCUCAGGUUGGUCUUGAAUUCCUGGCCUCAAGGGAUCCUCCUCCAUUGGCCUCCCAAAGUGCUGGGAUUUGCCCAGCCCCUAACUGUUGUUUUGUUAAGUUGCAUUUCUCAAGAUUGGGCAGAGUAGCUUCCUAGACUUGGUGAUUUAAUUUUACUUUUCUUGUCUUGUUAUUUCUCUGCAUUCAAUGUUACCUUAAUUGUAAAAUAAAAAUUACCAAGACAUUGCUGAAUAUAGUUGUUGAUUAGUGUUCCCUUGAUAGUAGUCCUGCAUUUUUACUUUCAGCUACUGCUUAAUCACAUUCAUUUGCAAAAUUGGAAAAUUUUUACUUUGGCUAAUUACCAUAGGUUUAGAACUUUCUGGUCUUCAGCUCCAGAAAUGUAUCGCUGUGUUGAGAUCAUGUUUUAUUUCAUCCAUGUUUAUUUGAAUACUGCCCCUCUGAAAAGCUGACUGUUUUUGGAGCUUUUAUACACAAGUAUGAGUGAGGAAAUUACUUUAGGUGUAGAAUAAAAUUGUGUAGAAAUAAUUAUCUUUGAAAAAAUUUGGUAUUCAGGAUAUUGAAUUGGAAGUGUUGAAGAAGCAGCUGUUUUGUGUGUAAUACGUUUCUCUUGUUUGAGAAUUUACCAGUUUUUUGCAGUUGUAGCUUUGAACUAUCCAUUCCCCCCUUAAAUUUAGAUACCCUGACAACCAAAAAUCUCUUGAAUUGUCAUGAAGUACUUUAGUAGAAGUUUUAUGGAAAAACACAACAUAGCUAUGAUCUUUGCUGGAAGCUUCAAAAAGGCAUCAUCGUGUGAUGCUUUUUAGGUAGAAAAACUCCCAGAAAUAAGAUAAGGUACCUACACUGGGCAAAGCCCAAGCCUCUUACUCAUGUUUCCUGGUAAUCCACAGCAGUGGUUUUGCUCCUUUCAUGACAUUGUUUUUGUUGUAGUGUUUGUCUUUCAUAAAAAUUCUCCAUAAAAAUAUAUAAAAAUUACCUGUCUUCCAAAUCAAACUUUUAUCAAACCUUCCAAGCUGAAAGCUGGUACAAUUUAAGAUCAUUUUACCCAGGAACAGAGUAAUAAUUUAUUUUGUGUUUACUGUUUCAUUGGACUUACUGAUUUAUUGGUGGUGACUUGAUCUUAUGUGUACUUGGUGACCUUAAAGUAAAUUACCUGGGUAGUUGUGGUCAUUUGACAAGUUUUUAUUGAGCACACAGCCAUUUGCGCUCUUGGUGUACAGUGGUAUAAAGACAGACCAGGUCCCUGUUCUUACGGAGCUUAAAAUACUAUGGAAAGGAAGAGAAAAUAAACUAACAGAAAAAUAACAAUUUCAGCUGGCGACAAGUGCUACGAAGAAUUUAGAGAAGGAUACAAACUUUUUCAACGGUCGCAUACAUAGAAGUGCACAAAUCGUAAGUAUAAGGAUUUGAUAAAGUUUUGCAGAAUGAGCAUAUCUUUGCCACUAGCACCCAGAUUGAUUUUUUUUUUUUUUUUGAGACAGGUAUCUGGCUCUGUUGCCCAGGCUAGAGUGUGGUGGUGUAAUCACAGCUCACUGUAGCCCCUACUUUGAGGCCCAGGUGAUACUCUCACCUCAGCCUCCUGAGUAGUUGGGACCAUAGACAUGUGCCAUCAUGCCUGGCACAUUUUUAAGGGCUUUUUUUUUUUCUUUUUGUGAGACACGGUCUCCCUAUGUUGCCUAGGCUAGUGUCUUAUUUCUGGGCUCAAGCGAUCCUCCCGCCUCAGCCUCCCAGAGAGUUGGUAUUAUAGGCAUGAGCCACUGUGCUGGCUUGCACCUAGAUUCUUAAAGAGAACAUUACUAGAACAUUACCGGAAGCCCCUUGUGCACUGUCCCCUGUGGGCCACUUCUCCCACCCCAUUCCUGUCUUUUAAUACUAGAGAUCAGUUGUGCUUGUUUUUGAAAUUUAUGUGAGUGGAGUAUACUAUGUAUACAGUACACAGUAAAUACUGUAUGUACCACUGCCUAUAUACAGUAUACUCCACAGUGAGUGAAACAAGCCAGACUCAGAAGCAUACAUACUGUAUGUACCACUUUGCUUAGUAGCCACAGUGUAUGCACCAUGGUACAUGCAUAUACUUCUGAAUCUGGCUUGUUUCACUCAUGGUUAGGUGUGCAGGAUUCAUCCAUGUUGUUGUGUGCAGUUCUUGCUUAUUUUACCAGUCUGUCUUAUCCUGAGAAUAUCUUUGACAUUCAACUCUGCAUGCAGACCCUUCCUUACACGUUCUAGAGAGAGGACCUGUCUUCACCCUGUGUUUAUUACCCACAUACUUGAACAGCUGUUUCCUCCAGGCAUCAUUAUGCAAAAGGAAUGAAACCCGGUGUGUGCAGCUUUUUUAGAGGACGUAAAAGGAGUCAGCUCUUGCCUCUCAUCAAUAGUAUUGUUUAUCAGUCAUUUCUCUUUUGAGGCAUUGGUUGAAUAAAUGGGAAAAUUCCUGCUUUCAAGGAACUUAGCAGACUUGUUGACAGAUAAGACCAUAAGAAGAAAGCCAGUGAAGUACCCAGUGAUGUGAACGCCAUGGUAUGAGCAAGUACAUAAUAGAGACCACAAGUGCUUUUUAGAAGUUAGAGAUAGUCAUUCUCUGGGGCUUCCUCAGGAAAAUCCUCGCUGAAUCUGGGAUCUAAACUGGGCCUUAUGAUUCUUGGAUAUAAGUUCCCUACUCCCCGCCCCACACCCCCUCUAAAAAAAAAGUACUAGAAGUUACACACAGAACUGUAGCCUUGGAGGCUGUAGGCAGUGCAUUUAAAGUACUUCUGGAGUGGUUUUGAGCUUCAGAGCAUUGACACACUUCCCUAAAUAACUGUGACAAUUCUUUCUAUUUGCUGUUGCCCAUCGGUGAUUUCAGUGGCCAGUAGUCAUACUGGAAAGUCUGAUAAUAAAGCAGGGGAUCAGUCAUGUGGUACCAAACCAGUUGUGGGGAAUGUUAGAUGUGUUAAGAUGUGAUUAGCAACGACAUUCCUGUUUGUAAACUGGCAUCUAUGGCGGUUUAAAAAUGGUGGCAAAACCAUUUUGAGUAUUGUUGGAAAUGUUAUCUGUUCUGCCGUGUUAAUAUACCUAUAAGUUGGUAGUUGCAUCUUGUACCCUUGAUAGUCAUACUUUGUACAUUGUGUAUGCCACUCUUCUGUUGAGUAAUUUGGAUUAAUUACUUUGGAGAUUGAAGUCUUGACUCAUUCACUUCACUCAUUUAUUUAGCUGUAUUUUCAGUUCCAUGCAAUGAGUGACACAGACUGUGCUGCCAAAAAGGAAUUCUCAGUAAGGGCAAUGCACAUAAAUUACUGUGUUACUCAGAAAUCAUGAAUAGUUGAGAUCACAAGGAAAUCUACUUAAAUUGUCCUGUGGUUGGGAAAAGAAACUAGUGGAAGGAAUAUGUUAAAAAAGCAUCUUUCUUAAAAUGUAUUCAAAAUAUUUUUCUCUACAAUUUAAGAGCAUUAGCAAAUACAACCUAGGAUGAAACUUUAACAGCCUUUGAGAGGGACAAGAAAUGAAAUUAAGGGUGAUAUAUGAUGCCAGUAUCAUCGGUGUAUUGGGUCUCAUAAUACAUACAAUACAUGGUAGUUAGUCAUAGGGAGAAAACAAACCUGGUGGCUGCUUUCUAAGAACAAAUCAGAUUUCUUGUGUAGCUAUGUGGUUUAACUGUUCUUGCCCUUCUUUUACAAAACUAAACAGAGUGCUGGUUCUCAAACUUUAGCAUGUUAUCAGAAUCACUUGGAAGAAGACUUCUUCAACACAUUGCUGAGUCCCAUUCCCAGAGGUUCAGAAAAUUAGAUGUUGACAUUUUCAAAGUGAACUUAAGAGAAGAUAAUUUCAAGAAUUAACAUUCUUGAAAUGACAAAAUUACAGAGAUAAGAGAACACAUUAGUGGUUGCCAGGAGUUAGGACUAGUGGCAGGAGGGAGGGAGAUGGAUGUAACUGUAAAAGGGUAGCAAGAGGAAGAUCUUUGUGGUGAUGAAGAGCCACCUCCUAGAUAAUCUUCCUCUUCAGCUGGUACUGUUUUAUAAAUGA
rnacentral:lncRNA from 1 species